GCUUAACGCGAAGAACCUUACCUACCUUUGAAUCCACGGAACCUAGCAGAGAUGUUGGGGUGCCUUCGGGAACCGUGAGACAGGUGCUGCAUGGCUGUCGUCAGCUCGUGUCGUGAGAUGUUGGGUUAAGUCCCGUAACGAGCGCAACCCUUGUCCUUAGUUGCCAUCAGGUUAUGCUGGGCACUUUAAGGAGACUGCCGGUGAUAAACCGGAGGAAGGUGGGGAUGACGUCAAGUCCUCAUGGCCCUUACAGGUAGGGCUACACACGUGCUACAAUGGGCAGUACAGAGGGAAGCCAACCCGCGAGGGGGAGCGAAUCUCAUAAAGCUGUUCGUAGUCCGGAUUAGAGUCUGCAACUCGACUCCAUGAAGUUGGAAUCGCUAGUAAUCGCGGAUCAGAAUGCCGCGGUGAAUACGUUCC
rnacentral:rRNA from 1 species